GACGAACGCUGGCGGCGUGCUUAACACAUGCAAGUCGAAUGGAAAGGCCCUGCUUUUGUGGGGUGCUCGAGUGGCGAACGGGUGAGUAACACGUGAGUAACCUGCCCUUGACUUUGGGAUAACUUCAGGAAACUGGGGCUAAUACCGGAUAGGAGCUCCUGCUGCAUGGUGGGGGUUGGAAAGUUUCGGCGGUUGGGGAUGGACUCGCGGCUUAUCAGCUUGUUGGUGGGGUAGUGGCUUACCAAGGCUUUGACGGGUAGCCGGCCUGAGAGGGUGACCGGCCACAUUGGGCCUGAGAUACGGCCCAGACUCCUACGGGAGGCAGCAGUGGGGAAUAUUGCACAAUGGGCGGAAGCCUGAUGCAGCAACGCCGCGUGCGGGAUGACGGCAUUCGGGUUGUAAACCGCUUUCGCCUGUGACGAAGCGUGAGUGACGGUAAUGGGUAAAGAAGCACCGGCUAACUACGUG
rnacentral:rRNA from 1 species